rnacentral:rRNA from 1 species
UACGAAGGGGGCUAGCGUUGCUCGGAAUGACUGGGCGUAAAGGGCGCGUAGGCGGUUUGUUCAGUCAGGUGUGAAAUUCCCGGGCUCAACCUGGGGGCGGCACUCGAGACGUAGGAACUGGAGUGAGGAAGAGGGUCGUGGAAUUCCCAGUGUAGAGGUGAAAUUCGUAGAUAUUGGGAGGAACACCGGUGGCGAAGGCGGCGAUCUGGGUAGAUACUGACGCUGAGGUGCGAAAGCGUGGGGAGCAAACAGG